GGCCAUUGACUCGUUCAAGGGUCUCGUGAUACCUAGUCAUCAUGGUGGUUUGUGUGAGUCAUGACAAGGCUUUGGCCAUACCUCAUAAUUGGUCCGGUCGAAUUGAACUUGCACCGCUUGGGCAAAUUCUGCCCACGAGUGUGUACCCCCCCAAAUUUUGUUAAGCUCUAAUGUCAUUGUAGGGUAACCCUUUCCAGGUGGAAGGAGGCUAGUUAUAUUUGUAAGGGGUGAUCAGUCCUAUUGAAAUCGAACCGCCUUGAUAAAUACAACUAGGUGGGUCGUAUUCGUUGAAUUUAGGGAAAGGUGUACCUAUCUACACACCAUUUUGCAUAUUUACACACCAAAAAAGGUGUUUUUUGUCCUUAUAUGCACACUCUGCAGUGUCGAACUGGUGACUAUCUACACACUUGGUGUGUAGAUAGUUUGGCCCUUAGCUUGAGAUGCUAAUGGAAUAGAAUGGAAUUGGUGUUCCGCGGGAAAGUGUUGUGGUGAGAGGACUCAUCGGAGUCGUUGGUGUUAUAAGGUUGGCUAAGGGAUCGAACAACUGACAACUCUUUCAAUACGAUAUUC
rnacentral:lncRNA from 1 species